AUUGAACGCCGGCGGCAUGCCUUACACAUGCAAGUCGAACGGCAGCACGGGAGCAAUCCUGGUGGCGAGUGGCGAACGGGUGAGUAAAGUAUCGGAACGUGCCCAGUCGUGGGGGAUAACGUAGCGAAAGUUACGCUAAUACCGCAUACGAUCUAUGGAUGAAAGCGGGGGAUCGCAAGACCCCGCGCGAUUGGGGCGGCCGAUAUCAGAUUAGGUAGUUGGUGGGGUGAAGGCUCACCAAGCCGACGACCUGUAGCUGGUCUGAGAGGACGACCAGCCACACUGGGACUGAGAUACGGCCCAGACUCCUACGGGAGGCAGCAGUGGGGAAUUUUGGACAAUGGGCGAAAGCCUGAUCCAGCCAUGCCGCGUGCAGGAUGAAGGCCUUCGGGUUGUAAACUGCUUUUGUACGGAACGAAAAGGUUUGGCCUAAUAAGCUGAGCUCAUGACGGUACCGUAAGAAUAAGCACCGGCUAACUACGUGCCAGCCGCCGCCGUAA
rnacentral:rRNA from 1 species